UGGGGAAUCUUCCGCAAUGGACGAAAGUCUGACGGAGCAACACCGCGUGUAUGAUGAAGGCCUUCGGAUUGUAAAGUACUGUCAUUGGGGAAGAACGGUUUUCUUGAAAAGAUUGAGAAGACAUGACGGUACCCAAGGAGGAAGCCCCGGCUAACUACGUGCCAGCAGCCGCGGUAAUACGUAGGGGGCAAGCGUUGUCCGGAAUUAUUGGGCGUAAAGGGCGCGUAGGCGGGCUUUUAAGUCCGGUGUGAAAGAUCAGGGCUCAACCCUGAGAGUGCAUCGGAAACUGGAGGCCUUGAGGACAGGAGAGGAAAGUGGAAUUCCACGUGUAGCGGUGAAAUGCGUAGAUAUGUGGAGGAACACCAGUGGCGAAGGCGACUUUCUGGACUGUAACUGACGCUGAGGCGCGAAAGCGUGGGGAGCAAACAGGAUUAGAUACCCUGGUAGUCCACGCCGUAAACGAUGAGUGCUAGGUGUAGAGGGUAUCGACCCCUUCUGUGCCGCAGUUAACACAAUAAGCACUCCGCCUGGGGAGUACGGCCGCAAGGUUGAAACUCAAAUGAAUUGACGGGGGUCAUAGCUGUUUUCCU
rnacentral:rRNA from 1 species